AUUGCCCUAGUAACGGCGAGUGAAGCGGCAACAGCUCAAAUUUGAAAUCUGGCUCUUUUAGAGUCCGAGUUGUAAUUUGCAGAGGGCGCUUUGGCGUUGGCAGCGGUCCAAGUUCUUUGGAACAGGACGUCACAGAGGGUGAGAAUCCCGUACGUGGUCGCUAGCCUUCGCCGUGUAAAGCCCCUUCGACGAGUCGAGUUGUUUGGGAAUGCAGCUCUAAAUGGGAGGUAAAUUUCUUCUAAAGCUAAAUACUGGCCAGAGACCGAUAGCGCACAAGUAGAGUGAUCGAAAGAUGAAAAGCACUUUGGAAAGAGAGUCAAAUAGCACGUGAAAUUGUUGAAAGGGAAGCGCUUGCAGCCAGACUUGCCUGUAGUUGCUUAUCCGGACUUUUGUCCGGUGCACUCUUCUGCGGGCAGGCCAGCAUCAGUUUGGGCGGUUGGAUAAAGGUCUCUGUCAUGUACCUCCUUUCGGGGAGGCCUUAUAGGGGAGACGACAUGCAACCAGCCUGGACUGAGGUCCGCGCAUUUGCUAGGAUGCUGGCGUAAUGGCUGUAAGCGGCCCGUCUUGAAACACGGACCAAGGAGUCUAACAUCUAUGCGAGUGUUUGGGUGUCAAGCCCAGACGCGUAAUGAAAGUGAACGGAGGUGGGAACCUUUUAGGUGCACCAUCGACCGAUCCUGAUGUCUUCGGAAGGAUUUGAGUAAGAGCAUGGCUGUUGGGACCCGAAAGAUGGUGAACUAUGCUUGAAUAGGGUGAAGCCAGAGGAAACUCUGGUGGAGGCUCGCAGCGGUUCUGACGUGCAAAUCGAUCGUCAAAUUUGGGCAUAGGGGCGAAAGACUAAUCGAACUAUCUAGA
rnacentral:rRNA from 2 species